GAAAGUAUAGCUCAGUGGCAAAGUGCGUGCUUGGCAUGCACAAGGUCCUGGGUUCAAUCCCUAGUACCGCCA
rnacentral:tRNA from 1 species